rnacentral:rRNA from 1 species
AUUGAACGCUGGCGGCAUGCCUUACACAUGCAAGUCGAACGGCAGCACGGGUGCUUGCACCUGGUGGCGAGUGGCGAACGGGUGAGUAAUACAUCGGAACAUGUCCUGUAGUGGGGGAUAGCCCGGCGAAAGCCGGAUUAAUACCGCAUACGAUCUACGGAUGAAAGCGGGGGACCUUCGGGCCUCGCGCUAUAGGGUUGGCCGAUGGCUGAUUAGCUAGUUGGUGGGGUAAAGGCCUACCAAGGCGACGAUCAGUAGCUGGUCUGAGAGGACGACCAGCCACACUGGGACUGAGACACGGCCCAGACUCCUACGGGAGGCAGCAGUGGGGUAUUUUGGACAAUGGGCGAAAGCCUGAUCCAGCAAUGCCGCGUGUGUGAAGAAGGCCUUCGGGUUGUAAAGCACUUUUGUCCGGAAAGAAAUCCUUGGCCCUAAUACGGUCGGGGGAUGACGGUACCGGAAGAAUAAGCACCGGCUAACUACGUG